UAUAACAGGGGUCUUCGCUUGUGCC
rnacentral:piRNA from 1 species